rnacentral:rRNA from 1 species
UACGUAGGCAGCAAGCGUUGUUCGGAGUUACUGGGCGUAAAGGGUGCGUAGGCGGCUUUUUAAGUCUGGUGUGAAAUCUCCCGGCUCAACUGGGAGGGUGCGCCGGAUACUGAGGGGCUAGAGUGUGGGAGAGGAAAGUGGAAUUCCUGGUGUAGCGGUGAAAUGCGUAGAUAUCGGAAGGAACACCUGUGGCGAAAGCGGCUCACUGGACCAUUACUGACGCUGAGGCACGAAAGCUAGGGGAGCAAACAGG